GUAAUAAUGCAAUUCAGUUAUUUUACAUUUUCUGGACUAAAGGAGGAUUUCAGUUCAACACCUGUGGUUUCUUAAUUUUUUCACUUAGUUCCACUACUGCUGUGGAUUUUAUAGUCAAUGUUUAAAGCCAACAGAGUCUGAAGCGAUGGAGGAAAUUUACGUCAAUAUGGAACCUGUUGGACAAACUGCAUCUAAUCACACAGGUAAGAGCAAAGUUACAGAGAAAUUUAAUGUGUAUUGAAUUCAAUUUUGCUAAGGUUGAGGUUUUUGUUAAGGUUGGAGCAGCUCCAAAGAGAGGCUCUGCCUCCAUGCGGCUGUAUGUUUGGGAAUCCUGAAUGUUUUACUUUUGGCUGAACUCAUCGCCCUCAGUGUUCACACUCAUCACAUGACAGCAGAUUUUUCUGACAUCAGCAACAUUCUGACCGAGCAGAACAGCAGCAGCAAGUUUCCCUCCAUGAACGCUAACUUCACUGAAACGGCUCCACGAGCUGAAGACACUUUAAGGGAAAUUGUGUCCUACAGAACGAACAAACAUCAGUUGUUCCUGUUCAUCCAGGGGCUGCUGAAGAAGAGAAGAGCAGAUCCACUAGUGAUGGAUGAUUAGGAUCUGUGUUCACUGUGAUAUUAUUCACCAACAAUAAUGUAGCUUACGGUGUUACAUAAAAUCCUAAAGAUAAAAUGUUCACUUCCAACUGUUGUGACCUGCAUUUAAUAACACAACAAUUUUACCGGUUGUACUCUGUGUUUUUCUUUCUUGUUAAAACUCUGACGUGAUAAACAAAUGUUAGAGGAUGGUUUUGUGCGGAGGAUCGGUUUAGCAUGAUGCGCUCUGAAUGUGUCUAAAUGUGACUUUUACUACGAAACUUUAUGGAGUUCCAGUUGUGUCCGGUAAUAGAGGAUUAAAUUCUAUCUUGGUAGAAUUAUAUUUCUACAUUUCCAAUUAUUUACUAUCAUUUGUAAUAAAGUGAUGCCAACACCA